rnacentral:rRNA from 1 species
GACGAACGCUGGCGGCGUGCUUAACACAUGCAAGUCGAACGGAAAGGCCCUGCUUUUGUGGGGUGCUCGAGUGGCGAACGGGUGAGUAACACGUGAGUAACCUGCCCUUGACUUUGGGAUAACUUCAGGAAACUGGGGCUAAUACCGGAUAGGAGCUCCUGCUGCAUGGUGGGGGUUGGAAAGUUUCGGCGGUUGUGGAUGGACUCGCGGCUUAUCAGCUUGUUGGUGGGGUUGUGGCUUACCAAGGCUUUGACGGGUAGCCGGCCUGAGGGGGUGACCGGCCACAUUGGGACUGCGAGACGGAGCAGACUCCUACGGGAGGCAGCAGUGGGGAAUAUGGCACAAUGGGCGGAAGUCUGAUGCAGCAACGCCGCGUGCGGGAUGACGGCCUUCGGGUUGUAAACCGCUUUCGCCUGUGACGAAGCGUGAGUGACGGUAAUGGGUAAAGAAGCACCGGCUAACUACGUG